rnacentral:lncRNA from 1 species
CCUGCUUUUACUCUGUGAGUUGUACUUUUGCUUCUUCAAUAAAUCUGUGCCUUUGUUACUCCGUUCUUUUGUUGUUUUGCUUGUGCGUUUUGUUUAAUUCUUUGUUUGAAACCCCAAGAACCUGGACAACUCACAGUCAAGACCUUCCGUCCGGUAACAAAGCAACAGACCUCAGUCAUGUCAUCUGCUUACAAAGGAGCCACGAAUCAAGACCGAUUCCGUGUGCUCUUGACGAUUCUGUUACACUCCUGCAGACAGGGUAUCGCUCUGCCUCCCAGGCUGGAGUGCAGUGGCACAAUCACAGCUCACUGCAGCCUCGACCUUCUCGGCUCAAGCAAUCCUCCUACCUCAGCCUCCUGAGUAGCUGGGAUUGCAGGCAUUCAUCACCACACCCAGAAAUCCAUUGCUUGCUAAUGUUUGUUUGUUUGUUUUUGGAGCUGGUGUCUGGAGCUGGUUCUCCACCUGUUGUGAGUUCCUGGAAAGAUCUCAAGACCUAUCCCAUUUUCCUCCUAGUGAAGGUUGAUAUUCAUAAUAGUUGACACUCAGUACAGCACAGACACCGACCAAUUCAAACUGACAGAGGUCUUAAGCAAUUUUCAUGACAAUAUUGGUGUAUAGAGCUGAAUAUUUGUUCUACACAUAGAAGGCAUCCAAUAAAAAAUUUUGAAUUGAAUUUUAUUGGUUUAGUAGUCCUGGCUGUGGUAUCUAAUGGCCUUCUUUCAGAAGUCAGGCAGCUUUUAAUUUUUUUGUCCAAAUAUGAUCAUAAUGAUUUCUUUUCCUCCUUGAUUUAGAUUCUGCAGGAGUCUGUGAGUAAUUUCGAAGAACUUUGCAAAAAACAGGACACUCUGUACCUGCAACGCCCGAUAUACAGCCUCUAGUCACAAGUAUAAGGUUGUUAGGUAAAAUAUGGCAUGCUCAGUUAAAUUUGAAUUUCAGAUAAAAAAGGAUAAUUUUAUAGUAUAA